CCCCCAUUUGCCUUUUGGGCGCGUUCGAGAAGAGGUUAAGGUCGUUCUGAAAAACAGACGGUACGAAAAACGGACCAGGAAAGCAAGAAAGGCACCACCAACCACAACAUCGCCAGCGCUGAGGGUUACAGUAACGAGGCCAAAUGGGACUCUGUUGGCCUCGGCGGAGGAGAGGUCUCGUCAGGGGGAAGCAGUGACUUUACAUGUCCAGGAACUCACUGAAGAAGGCAGACAGCAUCCUGCCUUCGCACAGCUUGCUUCGGUAAAUCUGAGUAAAUACAUCUGAAGACAUUAACCGUUUAUCGUUUACUUCCUCCCCUGUCUUUGCU